rnacentral:rRNA from 1 species
UGCCAGCCGCCGCGGUAAUACGGAGGGUGCAAGCGUUAUCCGGAAUUACUGGGUUUAAAGGAUGCGUAGGCGGGCUAAUAAGUCAGAAGUGAAAGCUCACGGCUCAACUGUGGAAUUGCUUUUGAUACUGUUAGUCUUGAAUUAGGUUGAGGUUGGCGGAAUGAGUCAUGUAGCGGUGAAAUGCAUAGAUAUGACUUAGAACACCAAUUGCGAAGGCAGCUGACUAGACCUUAAUUGACGCUGAGGCAUGAAAGCGUGGGGAGCGAACAGGAUUAGAUA